rnacentral:rRNA from 1 species
CCCUUAGAUGUCCUGGGCUGCACGCGCGCUACACUGAUGUGUCCAGUAAGCACCUAACCUCUUCCGAAAGGAACGGGUAACCUUUGCAAAGCACAUCGUGAUGGGGAUAGAUUAUUGCAAUUAUUAGUCUUGAACGAGGAAUUCCUAGUAAGCACAAGUCAUCAGCUUGUGUUGAUUACGUCCCUGCCCUUUGUACACACCGCCCGUCGCUCCUACCGAUUGAAUGUUCCGGUGAGCUCUUCGGACUGCGCGGUCUGCAGUUUCUACGUUCCGUGCGGAAAGUUGCGCAAACCUUAACAUUUAGAGGAAGGAGAAGUCGUAACA